AGCAGCCGCGGUAAUUCCAGCUCCAAUAGCGUAUAUUAAAGUUGUUGCAGUUAAAAAGCUCGUAGUUGAAUUUCGGGGUUAGUAGGUUGGUCAUGCCUCUGGUAUGUACUGGUCUCACUGAUUCCUCCUUCCUGAUGAGCCGUAAUGCCAUUAAUUUGGUGUUGCGGGGAAUUUGGACUGUUACUUUGAAAAAAUUAGAGUGUUUAAAGCAAGCUAACGCUUGAAUACAUUAGCAUGGAAUAAUGAAAUAGGACGUUCGAUCCUAUUUUGUUGGUUUCUAGGAUUGACGUAAUGAUUAAUAGGGAUAGUUGGGGGCAUUAGUAUUCAAUUGUCAGAGGUGAAAUUCUUGGAUUUAUUGAAGACUAACUACUGCGAAAGCAUUUGCCAAGGAUGUUUUCAUUAAUCAAGAACGAAAGUUAGGGGAUCGAAGACGAUCAGAUACCGUCGUAGUCUUAACCAUAAACUAUGCCGACUAGGGAUCGGAUGAUGUUAAUUUUUUAAUGACUCAUUCGGGCGCCUU
rnacentral:rRNA from 1 species